CGUAUAAAGAAGAAGGGAGGGGAGGCCUUCACUCUCUUCCCUCCCGGUGGCUCUGAAGGUGCAGGUUCCCCGCCGUUGGUUCUGCUGUGUGAGGGAGUGAGGCCGAGUGAGGCCUUGUAGACCUUGGGAGGCAGAGGCUGCCAGCGGUCCUUCAGCGCGACUUCUGCUGUCCCAAGGAGAGUAACUGAAUCGCUGUGGCUUACCAGGAGACACCAGGUGUGAUGGUCCCUAUGCAAAUAUGCACAGACAUUCAGUAUGCAGGUAAAAUCAUCAUCUUCAGGGAAAAUUCAGGUGGAAGCACGUUACCACCCAACAGGCUUUUAAGCACAGAAGCAGAAUCCUACUGGAGAAGUUUGCACUAUGAAAACAGUUACAAUAUUAAAUUACUCACAGGCAGGUAAAAGCCAUCACAUCUACAGAUGUGGACAAAGGGUUUCCAGUGAAAUUCUGCCUUCUUACACAGAUCACGAAAUGAGGACCUCAUAAAUCAAAAUAAUACCAUGAAGAGCAGUAUUUCUUAAUGAACAACAAUUAUGUGAUAGGAAGAAUGGUCAACUUUUUGGAAAACUUUAUUAUUAAAAAGCCUGAAACCUUCUUCAAAAGAACAAUUUUCCUCUGUUUGUAUUGGCCUGCUGAUACAACAUCCCAUGAAGUUCAUGAAGCUCACUGCUAGACAAGAACAGUACUUUCUCUUACCCAUCCUGAACUGCUCUGAUAGUUUUCUCAUGCGACCCUUGGCUGUACCACUGUGGGAUUUGAUCACCAGCAGUUCAGCAUUCAUCACUGCCCUUGUGGUUUUUGAUUUGAUCACCAGCAGUUCAGCAUUCAUCACUGCCCUUGUGGUUUUUGAGCCUCAGCCACAUGGCUUCUUCUAAGGACUCUCCCCUCUAAAAUGAGCACUCUAUUCCUUUCCUCAAAACAUAGCUCUCCCAAGCUUUUAACCAAUUUAGCUGUCCUUCUCUACCUGCUUUACCUCUGCUACAUGUUUCUUUCGGUCACAGGCAACACAAAGUCAUGCUAGCAGACCCAGGACCUGGGUGAGGGUCAGCAGACAGGCAGUAUGUUUGCAGAACAGCAGCAAGCUGGGAGGAAGCAACAUGGGGUCACUUGAAACAUGCUACAUUACAUCCCUUCCAAACACCAGACUGCCAAGACCAAAGGAAGGGGAACUUCCACUUAAAGAAAUAUGCAUAUUUGCCUAUUUUAUUAUAUAAAAUAAACGUAUGGAUGGGCUAUAGAGGUUUCCCAUCCUUUCCCAAUGAGUUCCAAAUGCUAGACUCUCUCAGUUUGCUAUCAUCUGUGACAUCCAAAGUUAGUAAGACAAAUUCAUCAGGGGCAAAAAAGAUGAGUCCCAUAGUACAUUUUCUGAUACUGCACUCUCAAGUCUCAGCUUACCCUUCUUUAUGGGAGGCUCUAAAGGUAUAAUACAGUAAUAUGAACUUUUCCAAAAAAUUAGAAAUUAAAUUGACUAGCACAAAAUCAUUUGCAAAUCAUUCAAAUGCAUUUGUAAUACCUAGUUUGAAAUUCAUGCUGCAUUACUCAGUCACCCAGCUUAUUCAUACGGGAGUAAUGAAACUGUUAUCUGACUUGCAUAUUAACUAGUCAGUACAAAUCAAAGUAUACAUCUGACUUUCACCUAACAGUUUUUGAUUGAGCUGCAAGUUUCAAGAUUAUGACCAAUUUAAGAGGAAGGUGAUUUGCAAAACUAGCCACCAGAGCCCUACUUGUAAACUUUUAUAGUGUGCAUGUAAUUAAAAAUUUGCUUCCAGCUUUGAGCAUUCAUGCUUAAAAAAUAUGUUUUCCACUCCUCUUAUUACAAAAAAAAAAAAAGGCAUUUUUGGACAAAGGUUGUUACAGUCAAGUUAAGACCAGCCUUCAAUUCAAAAUCCACUGGGCAUAUUGUAAUAAAUCUGAAGUAUAAUUGAAAUAUGGGUUUCUUUUAGAACUUAAGUUUCAUACUUAAUUUGAAGUAGAGUAUUCCUCUAUGUUGACUACCACACAAAGAAACAGGAAUAAAUUUGAAGUAAGCUGAAAGAAUGAUAAAUUUUUAUGUUUUUUAUCAAAUUUGGAACUUUCGUUGGUCAGAUAUACUGACUUUCUAAACAACAUCCAGCUGUUAUAUGACAGACAGCUUACUUUUACCUGUUACUGUCACCUAGAGACAACAGUCAGGCAUGCAGGGCAUUUUCUGAAUGUGUCUUAAUGGCAGUGUGUGAUUCAAAGAAGAGUAUACAAGAGAAAUUGUAAAUAUAUACAAAUAAUGAAAAAACAUUUAAGUUUUGUACAUUUUUGACUGUUAGAAGAUUUUAGAAGUUCCUAAAAUGACAACACAAAUGCAAAACAACUACUGAGUCACCUUCUUAAAAGGCUAGUAGAUCUGUAUUUUGGUAUUGCAGACUGUACCACUGUAUUCCAAAUAUUUGUUUUCCUCUACUUCCAUCUAAUAAAACUCAUUUCAAUCCAAAACACAUGAUGAAUUUGGGAGGGGAAAAAAAAGAAUACGUUAUGAGAUCUCAGUGUAUCAGUUCCAAAUAUAUGGUUUACAGGACACCAUUUUGCUUGCAAGAUCUUCUGAUAGUCUCAACUACAGGAAAUUAAAUGGCAGAAAACAAAGCAUUUCCCAGAGUGUUAGUGGCUCAGCAUUGCAGCCUGUGAAACAAAGCAACAUAAGAACAAUAUUGCAGGGAGUAUUAACUCAUACACUCACUGGGCAUCUAGUAUGUGUGAUCAGGUAAAGAAAAAAUUUCCAGCUAUAAGUCUUUCGUUAAUGUUUUGCUGUUCUAAUUCAGAACCUUUUGGUACUUUCUCACUUUGCAAUGAAAAAGGAAACCACUGUUAAUAACAGUGAAGAGGCUUUACUUGUGAAAGAUGAGCCGGGAUAUUGCCUGAAACAAUGACUGACAAAACAGAUGUCAAAUGUAACAUUAUUUGCAUCAAAGGCAUUAUCAAAGAUCCCUCUUACUUUUCUAAUUCUUUCUUUUGUUCUGCAUGUCAUCUUUAAUAGACUGAAAGUCAUGCUUCAUCCUUUGUGGUGGAGGGCACAGGAACAGACGCGAAAGACACAACACUUCGGAACAGGGAGAAAUAAGUGGUCCUGUGUUUUAAUAACAAAAACCCAGAGCAAUCACCUACAAAGAAUACAUUAAUGAUAUUUGAAAUUUCAACCCACAAUUGUAACUGGGCUUCUAUGUCAAAACUGGUCACAAAGUUAGGUUUUAUUCUACAAUAUGACUAUGAAUAAAUGCCAUACUUGCCAUAGAGGAAGUGACUCUAGUAUCUAGACUCAGGCUCUGUCUGCUAUUGGAGCCUGCAUGGUACAUAAGUAACAGACAACAGUGGUAAGGGCCUUGUUUCUGCUCUACUCCAUAUUUAACAAAGAGGUACAGAAUGUUACCUUCACUUUGGAACUAGGCAUUUUUGUAGGUAUUAGUCAAUCAGCUAGUUAUGAUAUUAGCAUGGACUUAUACAAAAAAUAAGGAGAAAAGUUUACCUUAAAUGAAUUGCAGAAUCCAGGGCACCAGAGGAAACCAACUCUAAAUAAAGAAUUUGUCUGUGCUAAUAUAAACACUGAAGUGCAUAACCUAUUCGUUAAAGCUUUAGGAGCCUUUGUGAGAGAGGGCUAGGGCUCAAAACACAACUUUUGACAGAUUGGGCACUUGCAAUGUAAGCAGAGACCAAGUAGCUUCUGAGCAGCAAGGAAACAGAGCUAUGGCUUAGAGGUUAUGGAGAAGAGAUUUUUCUGGAGAUCUGAGUUGCAUUUAUUCUUUCUUUCAGAAAUUGCCAGACAUAUCACAAAUCUUAGAGAAGGGAUACAUUGAAGGCAGCUUAUAUAAAACUUCUUUGUAUUUUACUGUCUUGCCCUGAAGAAAUGCAUUUUCUGCAUUUUCAGUUUUAUCUUAGUUUUUGUUCAAAUAAAACCCGGCUUUAGAGA